AGUCGUUUUCAGGGAGACUGACAUGAGUUUCUGCGCAGAGAAAGAGCAGAGAGUGUGAUCGGAUGUGUUUAUGAUGGAUGUGGCGCUGUUGUUCUCUCUCUGUGUUUGUGUUUGUGCGGCUGCGGGUUCAGAAACACUGAGGUCAUCCAAACCGCUUCUGUCCUAUGGAUUGUGUCAGUAUGGAUGGACGAGAACCUUAAAGGGCCAGUGCAAACCUGUGUGUGAGGCGGGCUGUAAACACGGCGAGUGUGUUGGACCGGAUCAGUGCCGCUGUCAUCCAGGAUUCACCGGCAAGACCUGCAACCAAGGUACCACACAUCAACACACAC